UACAGAGGGUGCAAGCGUUGCUCGGAAUUAUUGGGCGUAAAGGGCAGGUAGGUGGUCUUAUUUGUCUAGGGUGAAAUCCCGGAGCUUAACUUCGGAAGUGCCUUAGAAACGGUAAGACUAGAGUCCUAGGGAGGUUUGUGGAAUUCCCGGUGUAGCGGUGAAAUGCGUAGAGAUCGGGAGGAAUACCAGCAGCGAAGGCGGCAAACUGGAUAGGAACUGACACUCAACUGCGAAAGCGUGGGGAGCAAACAGG
rnacentral:rRNA from 1 species